GUCAGCAUCGAUGGCUUGCACGUGGAUGACGGAGUAGCCCACGGGCACGUUCUCCAGCACGGUGGCCUGGAAGGGCGUGCUGACAAAGAUGGGCGCGUUGUCGUUGACAUCCAGCACCUGCACGGUGACCAAGCCGCUGAUGUUGGAGAGGGGUGGGCGGCCGCCGUCCUGCGCGCGGAUGCGCAGGGUGUACUCCUUGCUGGCCUCGUAGUCCAGCGGGCUGACCACGUCCAGCGCGCCCGUCUGCGCGUCGAUGUAGAAGUGGCCGCGGGUGUUGCCGCUGACGAUGCUGUAGUGCACCAGGGCGUUGCUGCCCUUGUCGCGGUCGGUGGCCGUCACCCGCAGCACGGCCGAGUUGGGCGCCACGUCCUCAGGUACCUGCGCGAUGUAACGCUUCUCGCUGAACUGCGGCGCGUUGUCGUUGUCGUCCUCUACCACGAUGCGCACGGUGGCCGUGGCGCUGCGGGGCCCCGGCUCCUGGCCCUGGUCCGUGGCCUCCACCAGCAGCUCGAACGCCUCCACGACCUCGCGGUCCACAGGGCCGCGUGUGCGGAUGACGCCCGAGCGGGGAUCGAUCUCGAAGACCUCGUUGGCCCCGCCAGCGUUGAGGAGGCGGUAGAGGACAUUGGCGUUGGGGCCGGCGUCGCCGUCGGUGGCCCGCACCGUCAGCACCUCGUAGCCCACCUCCAGGUUCUCCCGCACGCUCUCACGGUACUCGGGCUGCUCGAACGCUGGGUCGUGGUCAUUGGCAUCGCUCACCGUCACCGUCAGCGUGGCCAUGGCACUGCGCCGCGGCACCCCGUGGUCCACCGCCGUCACCCGGAAGACGUGGGUGCUCUUGCUCUCGCGGUCCAGUGGGGCGGCCGUGGUGACGGCGCCGGUGACGGGGUCCAUGGCGAAGAGGGCGUCGGAGCGGCUGUCGAAGAGCGCGGCCAUGGUGUAGUGCAGCCGCCCCGCCUCGCCCGCGUCGGGGUCCACCGCCGUCAGCCGCGCCACCGCCGUCCCCGCCGGCCGGUUCUCCGCCACCGACGCCUGGUAGCUGGAGGGCUGGAACUGCGGUGCCGUGUUGGGGCUGCGGCGCCGGCGGGAGCGCCCCGUGCCCGCGGGGACCCGCGUGGUGCUGGCGGCCCCAGGGCUCGUGGCGGCCCCCGCGGUCGCGGUGGCCCCGGGACUCGCGGUGCCGCCGGUGCACGCGGUGCGCUCGGUGCUCCCGGCGCCUCCACGGCCUCCGGCACCCCCAGGGGUCCCGGUGCCGCUGCACUCCCCGGUGCCACGGGAAGCCCCAGCGCUGCCGGUGCUGGAAGCGCCGGCGCCUGCCGCAGGCCCAGAGCCGCCGCCGUCCCCGCCGCCGCCGCCGCCGCC
rnacentral:lncRNA from 1 species